rnacentral:rRNA from 1 species
UACGGAGGGUGCAAGCGUUAUCCGGAUUCACUGGGUUUAAAGGGUGCGUAGGCGGGCAGGUAAGUCCGUGGUGAAAUCUCUGAGCUUAACUCAGAAACUGCCAUGGAUACUGUCAAUCUUGAGUACAUUUGAUGUGGGCGGAAUGUGUCAUGUAGCGGUGAAAUGCUUAGAUAUGACACAGAACACCGAUUGCGAAGGCAGCUCACAAAACUGUAACUGACGCUGAGGCACGAAAGCGUGGGUAUCAAACAGG